GUCUCAGUGGUUCAGUACUUACACGUUAGGCUUGAGACCUAGGUGUCCUGGGUUCGAAUCCUUGCUAGGACA